rnacentral:rRNA from 1 species
UGGGGAAUCUUGCGCAAUGGGCGAAAGCCUGACGCAGCGACGCCGCGUGCGGGAAGAAGGCCUUCGGGUUGUAAACCGCUUUCAGGGGGGAAGAAGCGAGAGUGACGGUACCCCCAGAAGAAGCCCCGGCCAACUACGUGCCAGCAGCCGCGGUAAUACGUAGGGGGCAAGCGUUGUCCGGAAUUAUUGGGCGUAAAGAGCUCGUAGGCGGCCCGUUAAGUCGGAGGUGAAAUCCCAGGGCUCAACCCUGGAACUGCCCUCGAUACUGGCGGGCUUGAGGCAGGUAGGGGCGAGUGGAAUUCCUGGUGUAGCGGUGAAAUGCGCAGAUAUCAGGAGGAACACCGGUGGCGAAGGCGGCUCGCUGGGCCUGACCUGACGCUGAGGAGCGAAAGCGUGGGGAGCAAACAGGAUUAGAUACCCCCGUAGUCC